GAAGCCAGGCCAAGAAGAAUCCCAGGACUGGAAGGCCUUGUGGGACGUCCCAGGUUUGUCUUGUGUCAAUAGCACUGAUACUCAAUCUCCUACUCCCAUCUGUGAGCAUGCAGACCCUACUUGCCUUCCCACAGCCUCCCUUUUCAUAUUUUUCAUGUUUCUUUAGCUCUGUCUUCAAGCCUUGUUGCUCCCGCAAAAAAACCUGCCUCUUCCUCCAGUCCUCCCAAGCAGGGGGAACAGUCCUGACACCUUUCCAAGCCCUGGUCCAUGGACAUUGUGCCCCCUUCUCCCUGCCCAUGGUGACCUGCUCCAAAACCCUCAAGGAGAAGGGAGUGUAUGUCAUUUCCUCCCUGUAAAGUAAAGAUAAUUUUGCAGGGGACUGUGUGGAUGAAAUGACAUGAUGCAUGGAAAUCCCUUAGCGUGUGCCUGGCAUGUAAACUGCAGGUGUCAUCAUUAUUACUGAGGAAUACUGAGUCCCGAACAUGGCUGUCUCAUUGGUGGACUGGGGUCUCCCCCAGGGCAUUCAUCUACUAUGUGUUUAUUGCACCCUUUUUCCAUGUGAGGCACAUGCCAGGGACUGGGCACAUGGUAUGAACAAGACACAGGUCAUCGGUGUCCUCUUGAGCUCCCUGGCUUGGCAGCAGAUGCAUACCUGGGAAGGAUGCUAGGUCAUCCGGGAACUCUACCUCCUUCAAAUCCCUAAGGACUGUGCUCCCAAUCCGCUUACGCUCAAGGAAGAACUGCCUGGAAGCCCUCCCUGGUACCAUACCCCAGCCGAUGAGUAUGUACCCCCAGAAGUACUUCCGCUCAGAGAAGAAGGAGACGGCAAGCAGGGUGUACAGGAAGGCCCAGAACCAGCCUGCUGUCAGGAUCAGAACAAAAGAGGAGGACUGCAUAUGUAUGGACCCACUCCAGAUGGCACGGGGACGGGGGGAGUAGGAAAAGUGGCAUGAUGAGGAAAUGGAGGCACAGACUGAUUAGAAAACCAGCUCAAGGUCAUGUUGCUGGGUUACUCAGGCUGAAAUGCUCAAGACACUCUGUCUCAAGGGAUUUGUGGCUGUUUCAUCCUCAAGUAUAGGGGGAAUAGUGGCCAGGAAGAUCUCAGAGGUGGCUUCUGGAAGAGGAAUCUGGGUACUGGCUACCCUGCCUUGUGUCCCAUCAUUGGUCUGUCUUGCCUGUCUUGGAGCACAUUUCUCACCAAGAAAUACUUCUAAGGGGCCAGGCGUGGUGACUCAUGCUUGUAAUUCCAAGCACUUUGGGAGGCUGAGGCAGGUGGAUCACCUGAAGCCAGGAGUUCAAGAGCAGCCUGGCCAACAUGGCGAAACCCUGUCUCUACUAAAAAUACAAAAUUUAGCCAGGCAUGGUGGCGGGAGCCUGUAAUCUCAGCUCCUAGGGAGGCUGAGCCAGAAGAAUCGCUUAAACCUGGAAGCUGGAGGUUGCAGUGAGCCAAGAUCACACCACCACACUCCAGCCUGGGUGACAGAGCAAGACUCCAUCUCAAAAAGAAAAAAAAGAAAAAAAGGAAAUACUUCUAAGUUAUGUGAGAGAGUACAUACUGACAUUUUCAAUGGGUACAAUAA
rnacentral:lncRNA from 1 species